CGCUCUGCCCGUCAGCACUCAGCUGUUGCUGCUGCUGCCUGGGCUUUUCCUGCUGCCUGCUCUGGAGCACCAACCCCAGCAGGAUGAGCACUGCUGCGCCAGUGGAGACUAACAGAGACACUGUGGUGGCGAUGGAAGUGGACAUGGUGCUGAAUGAGGAAGAAAUGAUGGAGGUGGACGUGGAAGACCAGGUUGAGGAGAUGGAAGUUGAUGAGGAGGAUGACAUCGAGGCGAUGGAAGUGGAUGAGAAGGAUGAGGAGGAGCCCAUGGUCCUUGGAUGAAGAUGGAGCCCCACAAGACUGAUGCAGAUGAUGGCUGUAGAUAUUACGGCGGUGUAUAUAUGUUUGAAAAGUUAGGAUAUUUUUGUAAAUAUGUUCUUAGGUUAGUAGUUCUUUGUAAAUAUGUUUUGAAGAUUGUUACUCCAUAGGAUCCCAUGGAAAUAUGUGCAGUAGAUUGUUGUUGUUGUU